rnacentral:rRNA from 1 species
AUGGCCCAACGAAUCAUGUCGACUGCCAUCGCGCCCUGUGCUGGGUUAGGAAUCAGCGUCUUCAACUCUUGUGCAGUGGCCCUCAUGAGCACCGCAUCAGAUUCCUUCUGCAUGUCAAGCAUGGAGCCGAAGUUCGAGCGCACCUCCAUGGUGUUCUCGAACUUGGUGUGGUCACCAGCCGACCAUCCGAGGAAGAAGGCCCUCCAGCCAAUAGCCCAAGGGAAGGGGUUGGCGUUGGAGCUGGAGCUGGAGCUCAUGGCGAUGGAGAGGAGGAAGGUUGAUAGUGAGAGAAGAGAGGGAUCGAGGAGAGCAAUGAGAUGGGCAUGGAGGUGCUCCCGAGCGUUGACAAAAAGGGCAAGCAGUCGGUUCAUCCAAUGCCCGAGGUGGUGA